rnacentral:misc_RNA from 1 species
UCCGGUUUGUCACCGGCAGUCUCCCUAGAGUCCCCGCCAUUACGCGCUGGCAACUAAGGAUAGGGGUUGCGCUCGUUACGGGACUUAACCCAACAUCUCACGACACGAGCUGACGACAGCCAUGCAGCACCUGUCUAUCAGUUCCCGAAGGCACCGAGUUAUCUCUAACAAGUUCUGAUGAUGUCAAGGGUAGGUAAGGUUCUUCGCGUUGCAUCGAAUUAAACCACAUGCUCCACCGCUUGUGCGGGCCCCCGUCAAUUUCUUUGAGUUUUAGCCUUGCGGCCGUACUCCCCAGGCGGUCUACUUAAGGCGUUAGCUGCGCCACUAAAGGGUAAAUCCCCCCAACGGCUAGUAGACAUCGUUUACGGCGUGGACUAC